rnacentral:rRNA from 1 species
CGUGAACUUGUCCAUGUUGGCCAUGGACAGGCGGUUGCGCUUGCCUGUGAUAACCUCGUGCAGAUUACACGCCCUGUGACGGCAACAACGCAUUCGGAUGUCUGCCCUAUCAACUUUCGAUGCAAUUUUCCGUGCCUACCAUGAUGACCAUGGGUAAUGGGGAAUCAGGGUUCGAUUCCAGAGAGGGAGCCUGAGAAAUGGCUACCACACGCAAGGAAGGCAGCAGGUGUGCAAAUUACCCACUCCCGAUGUGGGGAGGUAGGGACG